GAUGAACGCUGGCGGCGUGCCUAAUACAUGCAAGUCGAGCGAAUGGAUUAAGAGCUUGCUCUUAUGAAGUUAGCGGCGGACGGGUGAGUAACACGUGGGUAACCUGCCCAUAAGACUGGGAUAACUCCGGGAAACCGGGGCUAAUACCGGAUAACAUUUUGAACCGCAUGGUUCGAAAUUGAAAGGCGGCUUCGGCUGUCACUUAUGGAUGGACCCGCGUCGCAUUAGCUAGUUGGUGAGGUAACGGCUCACCAAGGCAACGAUGCGUAGCCGACCUGAGAGGGUGAUCGGCCAACGUGGGACGGAGACACGGCCCAGAAUCCUACGGGAGGCAGCAGUAGGGAAUCUUACGCAAUGGACGAAAGUCUGACGGAGCAACGCCGCGUGAGUGAUGAAGGCUUUCGGGUCGUAAAACUCUGUUGUUAGGGAAGAACAAGUGCUAGUUGAAUAAGCUGGCACCUUGACGGUACCUAACCAGAAAGCCACGGCUAACUUCGUGCCAGCCGCCGCCGUAA
rnacentral:rRNA from 1 species